UACGUAGGUGGCAAGCGUUGUCCGGAUUUAUUGGGUUUAAAGGGUGCGUAGGCGGCUUAUUAAGUCAGUGGUGAAAUACUCUAGCUCAACUAGAGGGGUGCCAUUGAUACUGAUGAGCUUGAGUACAGAUGAGGUAGGCGGAAUUGACGGUGUAGCGGUGAAAUGCUUAGAUAUCGUCAAGAACACCUAUAGCGAAGGCAGCUUACUAGGCUGUAACUGACGCUGAGGCACGAAAAGUGUGGGGGAGUCAAAACAGG
rnacentral:rRNA from 1 species